rnacentral:rRNA from 1 species
UACGAAGGGGGCUAGCGUUGCUCGGAAUCACUGGGCGUAAAGGGUGCGUAGGCGGGUCUUUUAAGUCAGGGGUGAAAUCCUGGAGCUCAACUCCAGAACUGCCUUUGAUACUGAAGAUCUUGAGUUCGGGAUGAGGUGAGUGGAACUGCGAGUGUAGAGGUGAAAUUCGUAGAUAUUCGCAAGAACACCAGUGGCGAAGGCGCUCACUGGCCCGAUACUGACGCUGAGGCACGAAAGCGUGGGGAGCAAACAGG